AAAACACAUGCAAAGUGUUGUUCCCAUGUUUGAGCUGAAAAAAAGAUGCCGAAGCUUAUUCCUCACAUUUUGUGCACAUCCCUGUUAGAUUAUCUUGCCAAAAGAGAAAUCCUCACUAUCCACCUGACAGGUGCUGCAUAUCACGAAGCUGAUUAAAACAGCAUGAUCAUUACACAGGUGCGCCUUGUGCUGAGGAAAGUAGGCUACACAACCACAUCUUUCCAAGUCACACUAAAUACAUUACCACGUCUUUCCUACAGAGGUCACUAAAUACACUCUUUCCAAGAAGUCACACUAAAUACACUACCACAUCUUUCCUACAGAGGUCACUAAAUACACUCUUUCCAAGAAGUCACACUAAAUACACUACCACAUCUUUCCUACAGAGGUCUCUAAAUACACUACCACAUCUUUAAUACAGAGGUCUCUAAAUACACUACCACAUCUUUCCUACAGAGGUCUCUAAAUACACUACCACAUCUUUUCAAUAGGAGGUCACUACAGACUAGAUCUACCCUCAACCACUGAACCUCUAAAUAUUUUUACCUAACCAUCCAUUUCAUAAAUGAGAUGUAGAAAAAAAAAUCAACUACGUUUUUUUUUUCUCUCACCUCAUCUCAAUGUGUGGGCCUUGCUACCAGCCUGGAAGUAGUUUACAAACACUCAGCUGCUGCUUAUCUUCAGUGGUUGAAUAUAGAAUUAAAAGAACUAGAAGCUUUACCAGCCUGGAAGUAGUUUACAAACAUCGCUCAGCUGCUGCUUAUCUUCAGUGGUUGAAUAUAGAAUUAAAAGAACUAGAAGCUUUACCAGCGGCUACGGUAGUUUAAAAACAGAAAAUCUGAGCUAUUCUAAGUUUGUACAAAUCUUCUAAAAAAACAGGAAUAGCAUUUCUUCUAUAACACCAUUAUCCAACACCAUCUACAAAAACAGCAAAAUAUUCUUUAUUGGAAAUAAUAAUAAUCUAGUCAUAGCAACAGAACUACACAUGGCACGGCUCUGAGAAACCACAGGUGGAAAACACAUCAAACAGACUGAAGUGGAUAAGGAGAAACAAAAGGCAUGUGUUGGUAUAUAAUAUAAUAAUAUAUAUAUAUACACACACAUAUAUCCACUGUGCAGAAUGCGUCCAAAUCAACUCGUCAUGUUGCAAAACAUGUUUUAUAAUAAAAAUAAAUUUCAGUUAACUUUCCCCAUAUUCCCGGGUAACUUUCCCCAUAUUCCCGGGUAACUUUCCCCAUAUUCCCAGGUUUUCCAGGAAUCCUGGUUUGAAGAUACUAGAUUUCUUCCUUGAUUGAUCCAACCUAGAUUUCUAGAGAAUUUGGGGAAAAGUUACUGGAAUUUUGCAACACUAAGUCAUACACAAUUCCAACAGAUUACAGGAAUGUUAUGGUCAGGAGAGAGGACAUCAACAAUAAUGUGAUUGAUGAUUUUGUAAUGUUUCAUAACCAAGGGAAUCAAGGGUUUGGACCAUGGAAAUAGACUCUAGAUAUGUAGAGUGUACCAAUAUGUGUACCAAUAUGUAUACUGAACAAAAAUAUAAAUGCAACAUUAAAGUAUUGGUCCCAUGUUUCAUGAGCUGAAAUAAAAGAUCCAUGAAAUUGGCUUAUUUCUCUCAUUUUGUGCACAAAUUCAUUUGCAUCCCUGUUAGUGAGCAUUUGGUCCUUUGCCAAGGUAAUCCAUCCAGCUGGCAGGUGUGACGUAUCAAGAAGCUGAUUAAUCAGCAUGAUCAUUACACGUGUGCACCUUGUGCUGGGGACAAUAAAAGGCUACUAUAAAAUGUGCGGUUUUGUCACACAACACAACGCCACAGAUGUCUCAAGUUAUGAGGGAGCGUGCAAUUGGCAUGGUGACUGCAGGAAUGUCCACCACAGCUGUUGCCCGAGAAUUGAAUGUUAAUAUCUCAACCAUAAGCCACCUAACGGAUUUCUGUGUUUACAUGUUGCGUUUAUAUUUUUUGUUCAGUUGUGUCGCAAUAGAGGAAUAUUUUACAUUCAAACAGAAAUUAGGAGAAUUAAUUCAUGUUCAUCAAGGCCUUGGAAAAACCUGACAAGUGACCAAAGAGACGCGAGACGAGAAACAGAGGCGAUAUUAGACAUAACAGAAGUGAUAUUAACAGGAAGUCACCAAGUGCCUGAAUUUCAGCCUCAGUCAGAUAAAUAACAAUGUGAUAUACUGAAAGUCUAAUGCAGUAGCUCGAAUCAUACCGGCAUAGCAUAGACUUAAAAAAAAAAAUCAGGAUUAUAAAUAAUAUACAUUAUGUACACAUUUACACAUGUAAACAUUCUCCACCCUACUCUAACCACCUGACAGGACAUGCGUGGGCGACAUCCUGUCACUGUUUUUGGUUUGACUGGUGCGGAGAGCUACAGUAAGUCCCACUGAACGCCAGGGAAACAGGAAUUCAAAUGACCCUCACAGGACGUGAGAGCUGCUUGCAUAUUUGUUUUUCCUAGGAGAUUUUUAUGGAGUCAAAGUCAAUUGUCUAUAUCGUAAAAAUACAUCAAAAAUAAAAAUGAUAUUUUUGGUGUUAAUUUAAGGUUAGGCGUAAGGUUAGCAGUGUGGUUACGGUUAGGCAUAAGGUUAGCAGUGUGGUUAAGGUUAGGCGUAAGGUUAGCAGUGUGGUUACGGUUAGGCAUAAGGUUAGCAGUGUGGUUAAGGUUAGGCGUAAGGUUAGCAGUGUGGUUAAGGUUAGGCAUAAGGUUAGCAGUGUGGUUACGGUUAGGCAUAAGGUUAGCAGUGUGGUGAAGGUUUAAAAUAACAUUUUAAGAAGAGGAAUUGAAGAAAUGGACAGGGGUAACGACCCUAUGGCUGGGAUAACUAGUAUCACGCCCCAAAAUCUCCUAGGAAAAACUAAUUUGUGAGCUUCUUAGCUUACACUUCUGAGGAGUGUUCAUUUGGGUACACCAUUGGAAAUAGCUUUGAACAAUUUAGGUUUACGUUCCAAAAGUUGUUAUUGGACCAGUACAGUUCAGAGAACACUCAGCACCAUUAGGCUGUACCAGGUCUUCAGCCUGGUUAUAUUUUCUACAAAUGCCUCAACAUCCUUCCUUCCUUCAAUAAUAAUUGUUCUGAUUUGACAGGGUCUGUUGACAGAGAUGUGAUGGAGAGAAAACAACCACAGGACAGACCAGAUAUAAAUCACCAAGAAAUGACUGAAGGAAGAAUUCAACAGGAUCUCUGUCUUCAGGGGGACUAGAGGAAUACGGCCCUGUACACUGACCCAGGCAAACAGGGGAGUCAUUUCAUUGGUUCUAGCAGAAUUAUGGAGGCGUGUCUCUACGAGGUUGCAAUGAAAUCGGGGUUAAGAUUUGUAUUGCUGCAAACUGAACAUAAAACGGUUGAUCAGAUUCACUGUUUUCAAUAAAACAGCACCAACUCUUUUAUUGUACACAUUAGACAGUCUAACAGAGAGGUCUUUGGAGACUGACUUCCGCCCUCUUUGAAGCAGAGGCCCUGCCCUCACUGUUUCCUGCCCACUUCCUGGUUACGACAAUAGAACCCCAGGGCCACGUUCAGCAGCCAAAACGUUGCAGAUAGAAACACCAGAAAUAGAGCCAACAUGAUUCCUUAUUCUACAGGACAGAGAGGCAUGUUUGUUCUACAGAGCAUAUUUCUAUCUGAACGUUCCCAAACAUUGUGUCUUGCUGAACGCGCCCCCCCCCCCCAGGGGGAAUGGAUCAUUAUCAAUGUGGCAGAUGAAUUGUAAACAGGGCUGUGUUCAGCAGAGCACACUGUUGUGGAAUGUUCAGAUAUGUUUUUGUAGAACUAACAUGCCUCUCUGACCUGCAGGAUGAGGAAUCACAAAGCUUUAUUCAUGACAUUUGUCUGCAACGCUCCACAAUGUUUUUAACUGCAGACUGAAUGAGGCUCAGAUGUGUAUUUGCAUGUUACAAAUAUUAUUAUUAAGACCUGACCUGUUUUCCUGCUCCUCUACGUACAGCCUGUCUUCCCGGCACAACGCCCCUCUACGUACAGCCUGUCUUCCCGGCACAACGCCCCUCUACGUACAGCCUGUCUUCCCGGCACAACGCCCCUCUACGUACAGCCUGUCUUCCCGGCACAACGCCCCUCUACGUACAGCCUGUCUUCUUCCCGGCACAACGCCCCUCUACGUACAGCCUGUCUUCCCGGCACAACGCCCCUCUACGUACAGCCUGUCUUCCCGGCACAACGCCCCUCUACGUACAGCCUGUCUUCCCGGCACAACGCCCUGUCUUCUUCCCGGCACAACGCCCCUCUACGUACAGCCUGUCUUCCCGGCACAACGCCCC
ensembl:lncRNA